CAAGCAAUGCUAAUUGCCACACUCAUCAGGUGAAUUUUAGAUUCACCUGAUGAGUGUGGCAAGCAUUGCUUGUC